GCAGAUUGCUCUGUUUGGGGAGAACAUUGGCAGAGAGAGAAUACAUGUCAGGUCAAUGCUCAGAACUAGGACUUGGCUUGGCUGUUAUUAAAUAACUUUAAACAAGUAUCCAGCUAAAUCCAUUUGGAUCAGCUCUUUGACAGCAUAGUUUAAAAUAUCUAGCAUGCGGGUACAGAAUGCACUGAUGGAGUUGUGCUGUCUCCUACGUGCUGUCCAUGUUGAGAAAGCCCAGCUGAGGAGACGUCUCUCCACCCUCCGCUCCACCUGUUCCAGCCUGCUCUUCAGAACAAAAACUGCCUGCAGCCAUUCACACCCAGAGUCACGUUUACUACCGACACCCAGGACUACAUUUGAGCACGAGACUGUAAUAUUUGAAUCAUGUUUGUGUUUUGCCUUUAGUGCAUAUGAUGAAAGAAACUGUCUGAAGAAGAACGUGACUCUAAAUAGCCAGAUAGUAACUGAAACACUGUGAAAAGACUGCAGUACAGUCUAAUAAAGUGUAUUAAAGUGCCCACA